rnacentral:rRNA from 1 species
AUUGAACGCUGGCGGCAUGCUUUACACAUGCAAGUCGAACGGUAACAGGCCGCAAGGUGCUGACGAGUGGCGCACGGGUGAGUAAUGCAUCGGAACGUGCCCAGUCGUGGGGGAUAACUACUCGAAAGAGUAGCUAAUACCGCAUACGAGCUAUGGAUGAAAGCGGGGGACCGUAAGGCCUCGCGCGAUUGGAGCGGCCGAUGUCAGAUUAGGUAGUUGGUGGGGUAAAGGCUCACCAAGCCAACGAUCUGUAGCUGGUCUGAGAGGACAACCAGCCACACUGGAACUGAGACACGGCCCGGACUCCUACGGGAGGCAGCAGUGGGGAAUUUUGGACAAUGGGCGCAAGCCUGAUCCAGCAAUGCCGCGUGCAGGAAGAAGGCCUUCGGGUUGUAAACUGCUUUUGUACGGAACGAAACGGCGCUGGUUAAUACCCGGGGCUAAUGACGGUACCGUAAGAAUAAGCACCGGCUAACUACGUG